UCCUAUGAUGAUCAGUUUGUGCUUCGGCACGCUGGAAAUUACCGACUCAGGCUUCGGCCGAUGCCGAUAUACAAUGGCUGUUUCUGAUA
rnacentral:snoRNA from 1 species